GAGAGAGAGAGAAAGGGAGAGAGAGAGAGAGAGAGAGAGAGAGAAAGAUGGGAGCACGUUUCUACCCUCCGUCGCUUUAGUCUGUCGUGGUGUGUCUCGUCGGCCGGCUCGUGCGAUACCACGCGCGAACGCUCUCUUUUUCUCUCCCCCUCUCUCGCUCUCUCUCUCUCUCUCUCUUUCUCUCUCUUUCUCUCUCCCUCUCGCUCGCACGCUCGCUUCCCAUUUCGUUUUUCGUCGUCGAACCAACGAGAAUUUUUUUCCCCGGUCCGAUCGCGAGAGGAAUACAUCGAUAAUAUAUUCGAUUAAGGCCGUCAUAUUAUUAAAGUUAAUAAGAGGAGGGAGGAAUUGAUAAAAAAGAGAAACAGAAAAAAGGGAGAAGUAAAAGAAAAAGAAGAAG